ACGGGUGAGUAACACGUAUCCAACCUGCCGUCUACUCUUGGCCAGCCUUCUGAAAGGAAGAUUAAUCCAAGAUGGCAUCAUGAGUUCACAUGUUCACAUGAUUAAAGGUAUUCCGGUAGACGAUGGGGAUGCGUUCCAUUAGAUAGUAGGCGGGGUAACGGCCCACCUAGUCUUCGAUGGAUAGGGGUUCUGAGAGGAAGGUCCCCCACAUUGGAACUGAGACACGGUCCAA
rnacentral:rRNA from 1 species